GAUGAAGAACGUAGCGAAAUGCGAUAAGUAAUGCGAAUUGCAGAAUUCCGUGAGUCAUCGAAUCUUUGAACGCACAUUGCGCCCUCUGGUGUUCCGGAGGGCAUGCCUGUCUGAGCGUCAUUGUCAACCCUCAAGCUCAGCUUGCUGUUGGGUCCCCGUCGUUGCUUUAACGGCGGACCCGAAAGGUAAUGGCAGAGUCCGUGAGACCCUAGACGCAGCGAGCUUCUAGCACGCGUCUGGACGUUUUUCGGGCUCGGUCUUAACUAGAUGAUAACUUCCGAUUGACCUCAGAUCAGGUAGGGAUACCCGCUGAACUUAAGCAUAUCAAUAAGCGGAGGA
rnacentral:misc_RNA from 1 species